rnacentral:rRNA from 1 species
AACGAACGCUGGCGGCAUGCCUAACACAUGCAAGUCGAACGAGACCUUCGGGUCUAGUGGCGCACGGGUGCGUAACGCGUGGGAACCUUCCCUUAUGUGCGGAAUAACUCCCCGAAAGGGGUGCUAAUACCGGAUAAUGUCUUCGGACCAAUGAUUUCUCGCCUUUGGAUGGGCCCGCGUUGGAUUAGCUAGUUGGUAGGGUAAAAGCCCACCAAGGCUAUAAUCCAUAGCUGGUCUGAGAGGAUGAUCAGCCACACUAGGGCUGAGACACGGCUCAGACUCUUACGGGAGGCAGCAGGGGGGAAUAUUGAACGAUGGGCGAAAGCCUGAUCCAGCAAUGCCGCGUGAGUGAGGAAGGCCUUAGGGUUGUAAAGCUCUUUUACCCGGGAUGAUAAUGACAGUACCGGGAGAAUAAGCUCCGGCUAACUCCGUG